rnacentral:lncRNA from 1 species
AGAGGCAGGAAGGAGAGCAGCGGACUGUGCUCAUCCCUCAGCUAGGCCUGUCCCCUCCAGGCUGCGGCCAGGACCGCACAGCCCCCACCGAACACAGGUGCGGGACGUCCGCCAGGCUUCUAGAUUGUUUCCAGAUUGCUGCUGAGUUUGUUUCAACAGCAGAUGCGGAAGCCCGGCUGCUGCCACCGCAUCCCAGUGCCCUUCCAAAGCCACCUGCUGCGGACAGAAGCAGUUUCAUACACAGAGGAUUCCAGAACAACCAGAGGCGAGCCCUGGACAGGGAGAGCAGGAGGGGCUCUGCGCACGGGCUUGGCUGGCAGUCGUAAGUUUUGCUGUUGCUUACUCUUUGGGUCUGCACUGCCUUUAUGAACUGUAACACUGACCAUGGAGGUCUGCAGCUUCACUCCUCAAGCCAGCAAGACCAGGAGCCCACUGGGAGGAGGAAUGAACAACUCUGGACACGCCACCCUUAAGAGCUGUAACACUCACCGCGACGGUCUGCAGCUUCACUCCUGAAGUCAGCGAGACCACAAACCCACCAGAAGGAAGAAAAUCCGGACACAUCUGAACAUCUGAGGGAACUCCGCACACACCAUCUUUAAGAACUGUAACACUCACCACGAGGGCCCGUGGCUUCAUUCUUGAAGUCAGCAAGACCAAGAACCCACCAAUUCUGGACACAACAGGACACACACAUGGGAGGGGGAGGCCAGAGGGAAACCUAGCUGGCUUGGGGUGGGAAUUUGAAUCCCUGAGCCCAUCUUCUUCUUUCACCACUUUGUCCGGUGACAUUAGGACCAACCAACCAAUGCCAUUAUAUUUCUUAGUUUACAAGAAAAUGUUUGAAGUUCUCAUGCACAGAAUCACUUAGCUUCUUGCUUUUUACAAGUGGUUGAUUAGGAGUAUUCAAUACAGAUUUUGUGUAUCACUAUAAACAGUUCACAGCAUGGACUACUGGUGUUCUCUUUACUAACUGAAAUGGUGUCAUUAGCACCUUUAAAUCUAAUCCAUUUAGAGAGCCAGUUCCGGAAACCUCAGAACCAGUUUGGAAAACUUCCGUUCUUCUGAAGCCAUUUUUGGAACCACAUCUGUGCUAGGUUCUCCAGGGAAACAGAACCAAUAUGUUUUAUUUACUAUGGGGACUGGCUCAUAUGAUUCUGGAGGCCUAGAAGUCCCUCCCUCUCAAGAUGUGCUGUCAGCAAGCUGCAGAACCAGGAAAGCUGGUGGUGUCAGAGUCUGAAGGCCUGAGAACUGGGUGGGGAGUGGGACAGACUAAGGGGCCUUUAGUCUCUGGGUUGGUGUGGUCCCCACAGGUGAGCCUUUCGUGGAGAAGGGUGGAGAGGGGAUCUGGAAGGGCCAAUAGAAGAUACUCAGCACUAAGAGACCUUUGGACUCAGACCAGAACUUACACCAUUCAUUCAUUCAGUCGGUGAAAAUGUAUUGACCACUGUAUCAACCAGGAUUGUGACACAAAAACAGAUGGCACACUCAAAAGAGGAUAAUUCAAGAAGGGCUUCUUUAAGGGACUAUUUCCCAAGAUGGGAAUGGAGGGGAACCUGCAGGGCUAGUGUCCUACCCUCCAGCAGGCAGCAGCUAAUUCCUGAGGGGAUAAGGACGUGGUUGCGAGGACAUGGAGGGAAAGUUCUACAGAGGAGGCACAGUGGGCUUCAGGAACACCCUGCUUGAGAGGCCUGUGAGAGGUGGGGAAUCAAUACCUGACCUCGCUCUCCUUCCAUCUCUCCCCAACCCACAGGGGUUGGUGUGGGCCCCACAGGCGAGCCUCCCGGGGAGAGAAGUGGAGAGAGGACCUGGAGGGCCAGUAGAAGGUAUGCACACAAGUAUCUACAAGGCACCAGGCAUUUUUUGAGCAUUUGGGAUUUGUCAGCAAACAAGUCAGACAAAAAACCUUGCUCUGGUGGAGGGAACAUUCUAGCAAAGGAAGGCAAAUGACAAGCAGUAAGUACAAUAAUCAAG